rnacentral:rRNA from 1 species
AUUGAACGCUGGCGGCAUGCCUUACACAUGCAAGUCGAACGGUAACGCGGGGCAACCUGGCGACGAGUGGCGAACGGGUGAGUAAAACAUCGGAACGUGCCCAGUAGUGGGGGAUAGCCCGGCGAAAGCCGGAUUAAUACCGCAUACGACCUAUGGGUGAAAGCGGGGGAUCGCAAGACCUCGCCCUAUUGGAGCGGCCGAUGUCAGAAUAGCUAGUUGGUGGGGUAAAGUCCUACCAAGGCGACGAUCUGUAGCUGGUCUGAGAGGACGACCAGCCACACUGGGACUGAGACACGGCCCAGACUCCUACGGGAGGCAGCAGUGGGGAAUUUUGGACAAUGGGGGCAACCCUGAUCCAGCCAUGCCGCGUGCGGGAAGAAGGCCUUCGGGUUGUAAACCGCUUUUGUCGGGGAAGAAACGGUCUGCGCUAAUACCGCGGACUAAUGACGGUACCCGAAGAAUAAGCACCGGCUAACUACGUGCAGCAGCCGCUGUAAGAC